AUGCUUGCUUUGGCAGCACAUAUACUGAAAAAUUGGAACUAUACAGAGAAUAUUAGCAUGGCCCCUGCACAAGGAUGACACACACAUUUGUGAAGCAUUCCAUAUUUUA